rnacentral:rRNA from 1 species
GACGAACGCUGGCGGCGUGCCUAAUACAUGCAAGUCGAGCGCAGGAAGCUCACGGAACUCUUCGGAGGGAAGUGAAGGGAAUGAGCGGCGGACGGGUGAGUAACACGUAAGGAACCUGCCCCAAGGAUUGGGAUAACUCCGAGAAAUCGGAGCUAAUACCGAAUAGUUCUUCAGACCGCAUGGUCUGAUGAUGAAAGGCGCUCCGGCGUCACCUUGGGAUGGCCUUGCGGUGCAUUAGCUAGUUGGUGGGGUAAUGGCCCACCAAGGCGACGAUGCAUAGCCGACCUGAGAGGGUGAUCGGCCACACUGGGACUGAGACACGGCCCAGACUCCUACGGGAGGCAGCAGUAGGGAAUCUUCCACAAUGGACGAAAGUCUGAUGGAGCAACGCCGCGUGAGUGAUGAAGGUUUUCGGAUCGUAAAACUCUGUUGUAAGGGAAGAACAAGUACGAGAGGUAAUGCUCGUACCUUGACGGUACCUUGCGAGAAAGCCACGGCUAACUAC